GCAGAUCUCACAGGUGUUCCAUCGCACGUCCACCGGGUGCUCUGCUCCCAACUGCAUCAAUAGCUCGGAAAGCGAAAGGCUUUUUAUUCGGUACCAUGUGGGAGAUCGGUUACUGUUGCGUCGACUGCAGUGGUUGCUUCGUAUGCAACGCGAGAAAGCCGUGUCAAGAGGGUCAAGGAUAUGCGAGGAUCCCUUCACGCCUGAUCAAUUUCUCGACGAAGGACCGAAUGGGAAAAAGCGAUUAAAGUCAAAUGUGGUCCCUAGCAUUUUUUUCUCGUAAGUACACAGCAGGGCAUGCUGAUGCUAUCCUUGUUAAAAAUGAGUUGGCAUACCUUGAAAGAAUAUUGAGUUUCCAAUUGCCGUGCCUGUAGACUCGUCCUUACAAGUCACACGGGGAGAAGCACCUCAUGACGUCGCCACAUCAAGAUCAGGCUACUCAGCACUGGAAGUGGCGCAAGAGACCCCUCGUGCAAAUGGCUUCUUCAAGGUUGCCUCGGCGCCUUUAGGUGGGAUAACGCUCUUGGUCGACACCUAGCAGGCCAGGCGCAGCUGUUAUUUUCUGAAGCCAGGGCUUCAGUCGUCAUGAGUGAACACAAAUGUUUGCUCAUGCUAAAUUGCGUACUGAAAUUUUGAAACAACUGGUACGUACUAAUCUGGUUCAACUUCUCUGUGUGUCCAACUCCUGUAUUCCAUACUUCUGCAGUGUCUUACUUAAGAAUUGUGUGUGUCUGCAAUAAAGAUGAAAUGCUGUCAUCUACAAGGUGUGUGUUAUUUUGCUAAUAAAUUGUCUUUAUAA